AACGCACAUUGCGCCCGUCAGUAUUCUGGCGGGCAUGCCUGUUCGAGCGUCAUUAUUGCCAUCAAGCCCUGUGCUUGUGUUGGGGUUCUGCGGCUGCCGCAGUCCCCUAAAAGCAGUGGCGGACUCGCUGUCAUACUGAGCGCAGUAACAUAUCUCGCUCUGGGCGUGGCAGUGAGCACUGGCCAUUAAAAUACUCCACGUAGGGUUGACCUCGGAUCAGGUAGGAAUACCCGCUGAACUUAA
rnacentral:misc_RNA from 1 species